GAUGAACGCUGGCGGCGUGCCUAAUACAUGCAAGUCGAGCGAACAGACGAGGAGCUUGCUCCUCUGACGUUAGCGGCGGACGGGUGAGUAACACGUGAAUAACCUACCUAUAAGACUGGGCUAACUUCGGGAAACCGGAGCUAAUACCGGAUAAUAUAUUGAACCGCAUGGUUCAAUAGUGAAAGACGGUUUUGCUGUCACUUAUAGAUGGAUCCGCGCCGCAUUAGCUAGUUGGUAAGGUAACGGCUUACCAAGGCAACGAUGCGUAGCCGACCUGAGAGGGUGAUCGGCCACACUGGAGCUGAGAGACGGUCCAGACUCCUACGGGAGGCAGCAGUAGGGAGUCUGCCGCAAGGGGCGAAAGCCUGACGAAGCAACGCCGCGUGAGUGAUGAAGGUCUUCGGAUCGUAAACCGCUGUUAGUAGGGAAGAACAAAUGUGUAAGUAACUAUGCACGUCUUGACGGUACCGAAUCAGAAAGCCACGGCUAACUACGU
rnacentral:rRNA from 1 species